UACGUAGGGUGCAAGCGUUGUCCGGAAUUAUUGGGCGUAAAGAGCUCGUAGGCGGUUGGUCGCGUCGGCUGUGAAAACCCGGAGCUCAACUCCGGGCCUGCAGUCGAUACGGGCCGACUUGAGUGUUGCAGGGGAGACUGGAAUUCCUGGUGUAGCGGUGAAAUGCGCAGAUAUCAGGAGGAACACCGGUGGCGAAGGCGGGUCUCUGGGCAGUAACUGACGCUGAGGAGCGAAAGCGUGGGGAGCGAACAGG
rnacentral:rRNA from 1 species